CCUACGAGAGGCAGCAGUGGGGGAUAUUGCACAAUGGGGGGAACCCUGAUGCAGCGACGCCGCGUGGGUGAAGAAGCGCCUCGGCGCGUAAAGCCCUGUCAGCAGGGAAGAAAUGACGGUACCUGAAGAAGAAGCCCCGGCUAACUACGUGCCAGCAGCCGCGGUAAUACGUAGGGGGCAAGCGUUAUCCGGAUUUACUGGGUGUAAAGGGGGCGCAGACGGGGAUGCAAGCCAGGAGUGAAAGCCCGGGGACCCACCCCGGUAGUGCUCUUGGAAAUGCGUGGCUGGAGUGCAGGAGGGGCAGGCGGAAUUCCUGGUGUAGCGGUGAAAUGCGUAGAUAUCAGGAGGAACACCGGUGGCGAAGGCGGCCUGCUGGACUGCAACUGACGUUGAGGCCCGAAAGCGUGGGGAGCAAACAGGAUUAGAUACCCUAGUAGUC
rnacentral:rRNA from 1 species